rnacentral:rRNA from 1 species
GAUCCUGGCUCAGAUUGAACGCUGGCGGCAGGCUUAACACAUGCAAGUCGAACGGUAACAGGAGAAAGCUUGCUUUCUUGCUGACGAGUGGCGGACGGGUGAGUAAUGCUUGGGAAUCUGGCUUAUGGAGGGGGAUAACGACGGGAAACUGUCGCUAAUACCGCGUAGAGUCGAGAGACGAAAGUGGGGGACCGCAAGGCCGCAUGCCAUAGGAUGAGCCCAAGUGGGGAUUAGGUAGUUGGUGGGGUAA